ACGGCUCAGUAACACGUGGAUAACCUGCCCUUGGGUCUGGGAUAACCCCGGGAAACUGGGGAUAAUACCGGAUAACGCAUAUAUGCUGGAAUGCUUUAUGCGUAAAAUGGAUUCGUCUGCCCAAGGAUGGGUCUGCGGCCUAUCAGGUAGUAGUGGGUGUAAUGUACCUACUAGCCUACAACGGGUACGGGUUGUGAGAGCAAGAGCCCGGAGAUGGAUUCUGAGACAUGAAUCCAGGCCCUACGGGGCGCAGCAGGCGCGAAAACUUCACAAUGCGGGAAACCGUGAUAAGGGGACACCGAGUGCCAGCAUCAUAUGCUGGCUGUCCAGAUGUGUAAAAUACAUCUGUUAGCAAGGGCCGGGCAAGACCGGUGCCAGCCGCCGCGGUAACACCGGCGGCCCGAGUGGUGAUCGUGAUUAUUGGGUCUAAAGGGUCCGUAGCCGGUUUGGUCAGUCCUCCGGGAAAUCUGAUGGCUCAACCAUUAGGCUUUCGGGGGAUACUGCCAGGCUUGGAACCGGGAGAGGUAAGAGGUACUACAGGGGUAGGAGUGAAAUCUUGUAAUCCCUGUGAGACCACCUGUGGCGAAGGCGUCUUACCAGAACGGGUUCGACGGUGAGGGACGAAAGCUGGGGGCACGAACCGGAUUAGAUACCCGGGGUAGUCCCCAGCCGUAAACGAUGCUCGCUUAGGUGUCAGG
rnacentral:rRNA from 1 species